ACUGUCUGCUCUGCCUGGAUCCUGCUGCCCUGCGCUAUCUGCCCAGCCUGAGAUAUCCGCUCCGUGCUGCCCUUCCCCAUGUGAAGACUCAAGACCUGUUCCUGUUACGCCAUCCUGACAAUAAACCUGUUCUUAUCUCUACA